CUGGCUCAGGAUGAACGCUGGCGGCGUGCUUAACACAUGCAAGUCGAACGAACCUUCGGGUUAGUGGCGGACGGGUGAGUAACGCGUGAGAAUCUGCCCUCAGGAGGGGGAUAACGGUUGGAAACGACCGCUAAUACCCCAUAUGCCGAGAGGUGAAAUGAAUUUCGCCUGAGGAUGAGCUCGCGUCUGAUUAGCUAGUUGGUGUGGUAAUGGCGCACCAAGGCUUCGAUCAGUAGCUGGUCUGAGAGGAUGAUCAGCCACACUGGGACUGAGACACGGCCCAGACUCCUACGGGAGGCAGCAGUGGGGAAUUUUCCGCAAUGGGCGAAAGCCUGACGGAGCAACGCCGCGUGAGGGAUGAAGGCCUCUGGGCUGUAAACCUCUUUUAUCAAGGAAGAAGAUCUGACGGUACUUGAUGAAUAAGCCACGGCUAAUUCCGUGCCAGCAGCCGCGGUAAUACGGGAGUGGCAAGCGUUAUCCGGAAUUAUUGGGCGUAAAGCGUCCGCAGGCGGUCUUGUAAGUCUGUCGUUAAAGCGUGGAGCUUAACUCCAUUUCGGCGGUGGAAACUACAAGACUAGAGUGUGGUAGGGGCAGAGGGAAUUCCCGGUGUAGCGGUGAAAUGCGUAGAUAUCGGGAAGAACACCAGUGGCGAAGGCGCUCUGCUGGGCCAUAACUGACGCUCAUGGACGAAAGCCAGGGGAGCGAAAGGGAUUAGAUACCCCUGUAGUCCUGGCCGUAAACGAUGAACACUAGGUGUCGGGGGAAUCGACCCCCUCGGUGUCGUARCCAACGCGUUAAGUGUUCCGCCUGGGGAGUACGCACGCAAGUGUGAAACUCAAAGGAAUUGACGGGGGCCCGCACAAGCGGUGGAGUAUGUGGUUUAAUUCGAUGCAACGCGAAGAACCUUACCAGGGUUUGACAUCCUGCGAAUCCCUUGGAAACGAGGGAGUGCCUUCGGGAGCGCAGUGACAGGUGGUGCAUGGCUGUCGUCAGCUCGUGUCGUGAGAUGUUGGGUUAAGUCCCGCAACGAGCGCAACCCACGUUUUUAGUUGCCAGCAUUCAGUUGGGCACUCUAGAAAGACUGCCGGUGAUAAACCGGAGGAAGGUGUGGAUGACGUCAAGUCAUCAUGCCCCUUACAUCCUGGGCUACACACGUACUACAAUGCUACGGACAAAGGGCAGCAAACUCGCGAGAGCUAGCAAAUCCCAUAAACCGUGGCUCAGUUCAGAUCGUAGGCUGCAACUCGCCUACGUGAAGGCGGAAUCGCUAGUAAUCGCAGGUCAGCAUACUGCGGUGAAUACGUUCCCGGGCCUUGUACACACCGCCCGUCACACCAUGGAAGUUGGCCACGCCCGAAGUCGUUACUCCAACCCUUGUGGAGGAGGACGCCGAAGGUGGGGCUGAUGACUGGGGUGAAGUCGUAACAAGGUAGCCGUACCGGAAGGUGCGGCUGGAUCACCUCCU
rnacentral:rRNA from 1 species